UACGUAGGUGGCAAGCGUUGUCCGGAAUUAUUGGGCGUAAAGCGCGCGCAGGCGGCCUUUUAAGUCUGAUGUGAAAGCCCACGGCUCAACCGUGGAAGGUCAUUGGAAACUGAAAGGCUUGAGUACAGAAGAGGAAAGCGGAAUUCCACGUGUAGCGGUGAAAUGCGUAGAUAUCAGGAGGAACACCGGUGGUGUAGACGGCUUUCUGGACCGUAACUGACGCUGAGACACGAAAGCGUGGGUAGCAAACAGG
rnacentral:rRNA from 1 species